rnacentral:rRNA from 1 species
UACGUAGGGCGCAAGCGUUGUCCGGAAUUAUUGGGCGUAAAGAGCUCGUAGGCGGUCUGUCACGUCGGUUGUGAAAACCCAAGGCUCAACCUUGGGCCUGCAAUCGAUACGGGCAGACUAGAGUACUGCAGGGGAGACUGGAGUUCCUGGUGUAGCGGUGGAAUGCGCAGAUAUCAGGAGGAACACCGGUGGCGAAGGCGGGUCUCUGGGCAGUAACUGACGCUGGAGGAGCGAAAGCGUGGGGAGCAAACAGG